rnacentral:rRNA from 1 species
AUACAUGCAGUCGAACCAGGUAACGUAUAAGAUUGGUGCUUGCAUCAUGAUUUACAUUUGAGUGAGUGGCGAACUGGUGAGUAACACGUGGGAAACCUGCCCAGAAGCGGGGGAUAACACCUGGAAACAGAUGCUAAUACCGCAUAACAACUUGGACCGCAUGGUCCGAGUUUGAAAGAUGGCUUCGGCUAUCACUUUUGGAUGGUCCCGCGGCGUAUUAGCUAGAUGGUGGGGUAACGGCUCACCAUGGCAAUGAUACGUAGCCGACCUGAGAGGGUAAUCGGCCACAUUGGGACUGAGACACGGCCCAAACUCCUACGGGAGGCAGCAGUAGGGAAUCUUCCACAAUGGACGAAAGUCUGAUGGAGCAACGCCGCGUGAGUGAAGAAGGGUUUCGGCUCGUAAAACUCUGUUGUUAAAGAAUAAUAUAUCUGAGAGUAACUGUUCAGGUAUUGACGGUAUUUAACCAGAAAGCCACGGUUAACUACUUGCCCCCAUCCGCUGGUUUUCAUACGUGCG